AGCAGCCGCGGUAAUUCCAGCUCCAAUAGCGUAUAUUAAAGUUGCUGCAGUUAAAAAGCUCGUAGUUGAAUUUCGGGGUCAAUGUGUUGGUCGUGCCUUGGUACGUACUAGCUUAUUGAUUUCUCCUUUCUGACGAACCAUGAUGUCAUUAAUUUGGUGUCAUGGGGAAUCAGGACUGUUACUUUGAAAAAUUAGAGUGUUUAAAGCAGGCUCGCGCUUGAAUACAUUAGCAUGGAAUAAUGAAAUAGGACAUUUGAUUCUAUUUUGUUGGUUCUAGGAUCGAUGUAAUGAUUAAUAGGGAUAGUUGGGGGCAUUAGUAUUCAAUUGUCAGAGGUGAAAUUCUUGGAUUUAUUGAAGACUAACUACUGCGAAAGCACUUGCCAAGGAUGUUUUCAUUAAUCAAGAACGAAAGUUAGGGGAUCGAAGACGAUCAGAUACCGUCGUAGUCUUAACCAUAAACUAUGCCGACUAGGGAUCGGAUGAUGUUAAUUUUUUAAUGACUCAUUCGGCGCCUUACGGG
rnacentral:rRNA from 1 species